AUUGAACGCUGGCGGCAUGCUUUACACAUGCAAGUCGAACGGCAGCGCGGGGGCAACCCUGGCGGCGAGUGGCGAACGGGUGAGUAAUGCAUCGGAACGUAUCCUGUAAUGGGGGAUAACGUAGCGAAAGUUACGCUAAUACCGCAUACGCUCGAGAGAGGAAAGUGGGGGAUCGCAAGACCUCACGUUAUAGGAGCGGCCGAUGUCCGAUUAGCUAGUUGGUGGGGUAAAAGCCCACCAAGGCGACGAUCAGUAGCUGGUCUGAGAGGACGAUCAGCCACACUGGGACUGAGACACGGACCAGACUCCUACGGGAGGCAGCAGUGAGGAAUAUUGGACAAUGGGCGCAAGCCUGAUCCAGCCACUGCCGCGUGCAGGAUGACGGUCCUAUGGAUUGUAAACUGCUUUUGUACAGGAAGAAACACUCCCUCGUGAGGGAGCUUGACGGUACUGUAAGAAUAAGGAUCGGCGUAACUCCGUGCCAG
rnacentral:rRNA from 1 species